UCGUUGUCGUUCAGUCCAUGCCCCGCGCACUCUAAUAAAAAACAUGUAAUUGUAUUUAUUUUCCUUCCAUUUUGUCAGAGGCGCUGAUGUCGGCAUUGUGAUUGGUGGAACAUGACUUUUGACAAAUCCUGCGCUAUCUGUGAAUCUGUGUUCAGUGUUCGUGUUCGUUCGUUCGUUGUCGUUCAGUUAUUUUAUAUGGUCAGUUAUGUGAUGUGUUUGUGUCACCAUAAAAAGCUGAUAUUCAGUCGUGUUUUUUGAUAUUUUGUAAUCGAGUACCUUUUUAAAGGUAAGUUUUUCUGAUUGUAAGGUAGAGAUUUUCUGAUUGUAGGUACUGUUUAUCCAACAGUUUUAAAAUACACAUUUUAUUUCGCGUUUUGUUGUUAGGUCUAAUGGCUCCCAUCAGGUGUUGUGUGCAGUCGGUUGAAAAAUUCAACGAGUAAACAUAUAUUUAAUCCAAAUUAAAUACUCAUAUUUCUAUGUAAAAUGUCACAUUAUUGUAUAAAUAAAUAAUUAAGAAACAAAAGUUGUUUGUGUUGUACCUUUAUUGUCCACUUGAAUAAAAUAUUAAAUAUUGGAAGUACCGUAUGGAGGCUAUCAUGUACCUAGCAUGGAGGCUAGAUUACGCCACUCUUCCUAUCCAAUCAACAACAAGAACGUUUAAAAUUUCACACCUAUCAUGUCGAAGCUACAGACCACUUAUGUGGAGGCCAGAUUUGUAGUACCCUUCCAUUUAACCAGGUGCUGAGAUGGCGCUGAAAUACGUGACAUAUUUUUUAAAGAGUAAGAUCGCAUUCUACCAAAUCACACAACACUUUUUUCUAUGGUUGUUUUCUUGUCACAGAGCUAGCAAAAUGGUAAGAUGAUUUUAUUUUUAUUGUGGAAUUGGAAGAAGGAAAUAAAGAAAAGGUUGAUUAUGGUGAAGAAGUAAAACAAAAUUACUUAUAUGCUAAGUUUAUUGAAGAGUGAAGAUCUUGAACAAGAGAUAACGCAAACAUCUAGGAGAUUUUUGAUGAGAUGCCAAUCCUGCGUUCUUAGAAAAAAGCCAGUCCCAGAAGGAAACAACCAAUAAUAAAGUAGAGAAUUUAUUACACCAAAGAACAAAGCUAAUACUCAACAUAGAUCAACUGAUCCACAUAGAAAAGGAGGAGCAAAGGGCACAACAGAAGCAGGCCAGACAAAAGAAAAUGACAGAAGAGAGACACAGAAAAGAAAUUAAUUUAUUAAAUUUAAAAAUUAAAUUAUGCAAAGGACAAUUAAAUAAAGAAUAAAAAAAUCAAACAUGUA